AAGUAAAGAAGUAAAAUACAAUUUAAUUUCGACUUAAAUUUAGAGAAAAUUCUCCUUACUUU
rnacentral:tRNA from 1 species